rnacentral:misc_RNA from 1 species
UGGCUCUCGCAUCGAUGGAGAACGCAGCGAAAUGCGAUAAGUAAUGCGAAUUGCAGAAUUCAGUGAAUCAUCGAAUCUUUGAACGCACAUUGCGCCCGCUAGUAUUCUGGCGGGCAUGCCUGUUCGAGCGUCAUUUCAACCCUCAAGCCCAGCUUGGUGUUGGGGCAUUGCGGCCUGCCGCAAGCCCUGAAAAACAGUGGCGGGCUCGCUAUAACUCCGAGCGUAGUAGUUUAUUCUCGUUCUGGAAGAGUGGCGGGUUCCGGCCGUUAAAACCCCCUAUUUCUAAAGGUUGACCUCGGAUCAGGUAGGAAUACCCGCUGA